rnacentral:rRNA from 1 species
UGGGGAAUAUUGCACAAUGGGCGCAAGCCUGAUGCAGCCAUGCCGCGUGUAUGAAGAAGGCCUUCGGGUUGUAAAGUACCUUCAGCGGGGAGGAAGGGAGUAAAGUUAAUACCUUUGCUCAUCGACGUUACCCGCAGAAGAAGCACCGGCUAACUCCGUGCCAGCAGCCGCGGUAAUACGGAGGGUGCAAGCGUUAAUCGGAAUUACUGGGCGUAAAGCGCACGCAGGCGGUUUGUUAAGUCAGAUGUGAAAUCCCCGGGCUCAACCUGGGAACUGCAUCUGAUACUGGCAAGCUUGAGUCUCGUAGAGGGGGGUAGAAUUCCAGGUGUAGCGGUGAAGUGCGUAGGGAUCUGGAGGAAUACCGGUGGCGAAGGCGGCCCCCUGGACGAAGACUGACGCUCAGGUGCGAAAGCGUGGGGAGCAAACAGG